UGAGGCUGAAGUACAUGAUUCCAUGCUUCCAAGAAAAGCAUCUAGAGAGAGAAGUAGUGCCCGUACCGCAAACCGACACAGGUAGAUGAGGAGAGAAUCCUAAGGCCGGCGGAAGAAUUGCAGUUAAGGAACUAGGCAAAUUGACCCCGUAAGUUAGCGAGAAGGGGUGCCUGCGAGAGCAGGCCGCAGAGAAUAGACCCAAGCAACUGUUUAGCAAAAACACAGGUCUCUGCUAAAGCGCAAGCUGAUGUAUAGGGGCUGACGCCUGCCCGGUGCUGGAAGGUUAAGGGGAACACUUAGCGCAAGCGAAGGUGUGAACUUAAGCCCCAGUAAACGGCGGCCGUAACGAUAACGGUCCUAAGGUAGCGAAAUUCCUUGUCAGGUAAGUUCUGACCCGCACGAAUGGCGUAAUGACUUGGGCACUGUCUCAACUGCAAAUCCGGCGAAGUUGUAGUGCGAGUGAAGAUGCUCGCUACCCGCGAUUGGACGGAAAGACCCCGUAGAGCCUUACUGUAGCUUAGCAUUGAAUUCCGGUAUUGUCUGUACAGGAUAGGUGGGAGACUGGGAAACUAGGGCGUCAGCCUUGGUGGAGUCGUCCUUGGGAUACCACCCUGACAGUACUGGGGUUCUAACAGGACGCCAUGAAUCUGGUGACUGGACAUUGUUAGGUGGGCAGUUUGACUGGGGCGGUCGCCUCCUAAAAAGUAACGGAGGCGCCCAAAGGUUCCCUCAGAACGGUCGGAAAUCGUUCGUAGAGUGCAAAGGCAGAAGGGAGCCUGACUGCGAGACCUACAAGUCGAGCAGGGACGAAAGUCGGGCUUAGUGAUCCGGUGGUACCUCGUGGGAGGGCCAUCGCUCAACGGAUAAAAGCUACCUCGGGGAUAACAGGCUGAUCUCCCCCAAGAGUCCACAUCGACGGGGAGGUUUGGCACCUCGAUGUCGGCUCGUCGCAUCCUGGGGCUGUAGUAGGUCCCAAGGGUUGGGCUGUUCGCCCACUAAAGCGGCACGCGAGCUGGGUUCAGAACGUCGUGAGACAGUUCGGUCCCUAUCCGUCGCGGGCGUAGGAAAUUUGAGAGGAGCUGUCCUUAGUACGAGAGGACCGGGAUGGACUGACCUCUGGUGCACCAGUUGUUCUGCCAAGAGCAUGGCUGGGUAGCUAAGUCGGGAAGGGAUAAACGCUGAAAGCAUCUAAGCGUGAAGCCUCCCUCAAGAUGAGAUUUCCCAUAGCAUAAGCUAGUAAGACCCCUUGAAGAACACGAGGUUGAUAGGUCAGAGGUGUAAGUGUGGUAACAUAUUUAGCUGACUGAUACUAAUAGGUCGAGGGCUUGACC
rnacentral:rRNA from 1 species